rnacentral:rRNA from 1 species
CCUACGGGAGGCAGCAGUGGGGAAUAUUGGACAAUGGGCGAAAGCCUGAUCCAGCCAUGCCGCGUGUGUGAAGAAGGCCUUCGGGUUGUAAAGCACUUUCAGUGGGGAAGAAAGCCUUGGGGCUAAUACCCUCGAGGAAGGACAUCACCCACAGAAGAAGCACCGGCUAACUCCGUGCCAGCAGCCGCGGUAAUACGGAGGGUGCGAGCGUUAAUCGGAAUUACUGGGCGUAAAGCGCGCGUAGGCGGUCUGAUAAGCCGGUUGUGAAAGCCCCGGGCUCAACCUGGGAACGGCAGCCGGAACUGUCAGGCUAGAGUGCAGGAGAGGAAGGUAGAAUUCCCGGUGUAGCGGUGAAAUGCGUAGAGAUCGGGAGGAAUACCAGUGGCGAAGGCGGCCUUCUGGACUGACACUGACGCUGAGGUGCGAAAGCGUGGGUAGCAAACAGGAUUAGAUACCCCGGUAGUC